UCGUAUGGAUGAGCAAAGACAGUGGUUUAUUGAGAUGAAAGCUACUCCUGGUGAAGAUGAUGUGAA
rnacentral:pre_miRNA from 1 species